rnacentral:rRNA from 1 species
CUACGGGGGGCAGCGGUCAAGAACAUUCGACAAUGGGGGAAACCCUGAUCGAGCGACGCCGCGUGCAGGAUGAAGGCCUUCGGGUUGUAAACUGCUUUUGCGCAAGAAGAACCCUCGGGUGACAUUAUUGCGCGAAUAAGAAGAUGCUAACUCUGUGCCAGCAGCAGCGGUAAUACAGAGUCUUCAAGCGUUAUCCGGAUUAUUGGGCGUAAAGGGUCCGUAGGUGCUUUGUUAAGUUUCCUGUUAAAUCUCUCGGGCUCAACCUGAGAGCUGCAGGAAAAACUGGCAGAGUUGAGGACGUUAGGGGCUGGCGGAACGCAUGGUGUAGGGGUGGAAUCCGUUGAUAUCAUGCGGAACACCGAAAGCGAAGGCAGCCAGCUGGGACGAUCCUGACGCUGAGGGACGAAAGCGUGGGUAGCAAAAAGGAUUAGAUACCCGAGUAGUC